rnacentral:lncRNA from 10 species
GUUUACCUAAGCAAGCCUGGGCAAUGACGGGCGCCCCUCCCCCAGCCUCGCUGCCGCCUUGCAGUUUGAUCUCAGACUGCUGUGCUAGCAAUCAGCGAGACUCUGUGGGCAUAGGACCCUCCGAGCCAGGUGUGAGAUAUAAUCUCCUGGUGCGCGGUUUUUUAAGCCCGUCGGAAAAGCGCAGUAUUCAGGUGGGAGUGACCCGAUUUUCGGGAACUCCCUGACCCCUUGCGCUUCCCAGGUGAGGCAAUGCCUCUCCCUGCUUUGGCUCGCGCACGGUGCGCACACCCACUGACCUGCACCCAGUGUCUGGCACUCCCUAGUGAGAUGAACCCGGUACCUCAGAUGGAAAUGCAGAUAUCACCCGUCUUCUGUGUCGCUCACGCUGGGAGCUGUAGACCGGAGCUGUUCCUAUUCGGCCAUCUUGGCUCCCAAAUCCCAGAUAACAAAAUUCUGUUCUUCAUGGAUGAAGUACAACUGGAAAAGUUCUAUGGCAUUUUGAUUGAUUUAAUCUCUAGGAGACACUCCAGUUCAAGGACAGCAAGGAGUGACUACAGAUCAAAAAGAAAGCUAGAAGCAAGCAAGCAAGGAAGAAAUGAGGAAAAAAGGCAAGCAAGUAGGCUUCAUCAGGACUGCAAGAGCAUCUAGAAAGUGAUGGGGAAAAUCAGGAAAAGAAGGGGAACACAGAAUGGGGAACACCAAAAAUGCACAGAAGCCUAGAAGCAAGCAAGAAAUAUAAGGUCGAAAGAACUGAGCUACUACCCACCACAAAGAAAACAUAUUUAACAACCUGUUAAAAGUAAAAAUCAACACUCUUCAGUGGAAGAAAAAAUUAGUAGUAUCUACAAUGUAAUACCCACAAGACAAGGAAAAAAAUGGGAAAACGUGACCUGUAAUAAGGAUUGAAAGCACUUAAUAGACACAGGUUCUGAAAUAACUCAGCUGUUUGAGUAAGCAGACUAGGACUUGAAUAUAAUUAUCAUAAAUGUGUUGAGAUAUUUUAAGAAAAAAUGGGGAAAACGAAUGAAUGAAUAGACAGAGAAUCUCAACAGAGAAAUUGAAACUAUAAGAAUGGAAAUUCUAGAGCUAAAAUUACAUCAUUUAAAAAAAAUCUCUGCAUAUAACUUGAAUAAGUUUGGAGUACAUUAGUUAAGCAACAUAAGUCAAUCAGAGAAAGAUAAAUACCACAUCAUGUCACUCACAUGGGGGAACUGAAAAAAAAAAAUGAGCCCAUGGAAGUAAAUAGUUGAAUUGUCGGUAUUAGAGGCUGAGAAAGGUAGAGGGGAAGGGAGGAUAGGGAGAGGUUGGUUAAUUGAUACAAAUUUACAGCUAGACAGAAGGAAUGAAUUCUAGUGUUCUGCAGCACUGUUAAGGCAAAUAAGGUAACUAAUUUAUUGUAUAUUUCCAAAAAGCUAGAAGAGAGGAUUUUGAAUGAUCACAACAUAAAGAAAUAAUAAAUGUUUGAAGUGACAGAUACUUUAAAUACUCUGAUUUGAUCCCUACACAUUGCAUACACAUAUCAAAAUACCACCUUGUAUCCCAUAAAUAUGUAAAAUUUUAAAUGCCAACUAAAACACGAGGAAAAAUCUAUGCAUAGGAUUAACAAGAAAAAGGAAAGGACAAAAUAAAGCAUCAGUGAAUUUAAGGAUAAAUCAGCAAAAAGAAUAAAAUCUGAAGUAAAUGAAGGAUAAAUAUUGAAAAUAAAUGAGCAUUGCUUUAGUGAUAUUUGGGAAAAUAUCAAACAGUUUAAUAUAAACACAAUUGCAUUUCUCAAAGGAGAAAAGAAAGAGAAUGGGACAGAGAAAUAUUUGAAGAAUUAAUGGCUGAUAAUUUGCAAAUUUUGUGAAAAACUGACUUACAAAUCCUAGAGUCUCAUCAAAACCCAAGAGGGAUAAAUAUGAUCAGACUUAGGUACAGCAUGGCCAAGUGAUAACAAGAAAAAAAGACAAAAUCCUUAUGGUAGCCAUGAAAAGCAAACACACUGCAUUCAAAUGAACACAGAGUUAUAGAAUAUUUGACUUAUCAUCAGAAACAACAGAGGCCAUAUAUCAAAGGCACUGCAUAUUUAAAGUGCUGAAAGUCUUUUUUUCCUAUACCCCAUGAUAAUAUCCUUCGAAAUAUAUAUUUUCAGAUAAAUGAAAGCUAAAUGAAUUGUUGCCAGCAGAACUGUAAUAUAACAAUUUCAACAAAAAGUCCUUUAGACUAUAAGGAAAUGAUACUAGGUACAAGUGGAAUAUACAGGACAAAUAAAGAGCACUACAAAUGAUAUACACAUAAAUAUACAAAAGUAUUUAGAUUUUUUAUUUUCUUAAGUUAAUUUAAAAAUGUACACAGUCAGCCCUCCGUAUUCAUGGUUUCCACAUCUGUAGAUUCUGCCAACUUCAGCUGCAAAAUAUUUCAGAAAGAAAUUGCAUUUAUAUUGAACAUGUACAGCCUUUUUUCUUGUCAUUAUUUCCUAAACACUGUAUAACAAUUAUCUGCAUAGUACUUACAUUGUAAUAGUUAUUACUGUAACUAAUCUAGAGAUUUAUAGCAUACAAAAAUGUUAUAUGUAAAUACUAUGUUAUAUGUAAAUACUAUGCCACUUUAAUAUUAAUAUUAGAGACUUGAGAUUCUAGGCAGUUUUGUAUCCACAAGAGGUCCUGAAAACAAUCCUCCAUUGAUACCAAAGGACGAUUAUAAUUAUUUGCAGGGGAAAACACAAUAUUGAGGGGUUUAUAAUAUAUAUAUAUGUGUAUAUAUAUAUGGAUAUAAUAUAUACUGUAAUAGCAUAUAUACUAGAUGGGGCAUAAUGGUUCUUAAAUUUUAUGUUAUGUGGUAGACUAUUAACUCUGAGAAACUAUGUAACACAAGUUUGAAUAUUUCAGUCUAUAGCAAACUACAAUAAAGUAAGAGUACAAAGGGAAUAUUGCUAAAAGGCCAAUAAAUGAAUCCCAAAGGGAUUAGGAAAACAUAAAAAUAAUCAUAAGGAAGGCAGUUGAGUGGGAAUGGAAGAACAAAAGUUGUUGGGAUAGAAACUCAAUAGCAAACAAUAAAUAUAAAUAAAAAUAUAUUAAGAAGAGGAGUAACAGAAGAAACAAUGUUAGAUCAAAGAGUCAUUUCAUCAGAAAAACAUAAAAAUGACAAAUGUGAAUAUGCUUAAUAACAGAGCUUCAAAAUGUAUUGUAAUGGUUUGAAUUGCCUCCUUCCCAAAAGAUUUGUUGAAGUCUUAAUCUCAAGUACUUCAGAAUGUGACCUUAUUUGGAAAUGGGGUCAUUGCAUAUAUAAUUAGUUAAUAUUAGGUCAUAUUGGAGUAGGAUAGUCCCUUAAUCCAGUGUGACUGGUGUCUUUAUAAGAAUACAGCCAUGUGAAGAUACAGAGACAAACGAGGAACACCAUGUGAAGAUGGAGGCAGAGAUUUGAGAGAUGUGUCUACAAACUAGGGAGUACCAAUGAUUGCUGGCCAUCACCAAAUGCUAGGAGAGAAGUCUGGAACAAUGUUUUCCUUAGAUCUAUCACAAAGAAGCAAUACUGCUGAUACUUUGAUUUUUGACUUCUGGCAUCCAGAACUAUGAGACAAUAACAUUCUGUUUUAAGCCACCCAGUUUGUGGUGCUUUAUUAUGGCAGCACUCAGAAAGAUACAUGAAGAAAAAAGUAAUGGAGUCAAAAAGAGAGGCAGACAAAUCCAUUAUAAAAUUUAGAGUUUUAUAUGACUUGUUCAGUGAUUGACAAAAAAAUAGUGAGAAUAUAGAAGAGGCAUAUACUAUAAACCAACUUGACCAUAAUGCCAUUCUGCUCAAUAAUGCUCAAUAAUUUUAGAUUACACAUUCUUUCAAGGUUCACAUGGCAUGUUCUACAAAUUUAAAAAUAUUUAAAUGUUAUAGAUUAUGAUUCAUAGCCAAAAGGUAAUGUAAUUCAAACUAAUAAGAAAAAGAUAAAUAUAAAAGGUCAAAAUUUAGAAAUCAAUCAAGACACUUUAAAAUUACCAUGUGUCAAAAAAAAAUCAUAAUAGAAAUAAAAUAUUUCAAGCUGAGUGAUAAUAAAAUACAACAUACCUCCUUUUGUAUGUGAUACAACUAAAGCAGAGAUUACAGGGAAAUUUGUAGCAUUAAAAACUCAUAUUGAAAACAAAGAGAUUAUUAAAACUAGUGAGUUAAUUUUCAUUUAAGAAACUAGAAAUGGGAAAACAAGCCUAAAACCAGAGAAAAGAGGAAACAAUUUAAAAGUAGAAAAAAUGAUAUAGAACACAUGCAAAAAUAGAGAAAAUUUAACAAAACCAGAAGUUGGUUCUCUAAAUAUAUAACCAAUUUGUUAAAUUGCUAGCAAGAAUAAUCAAAAGAAAGAUGUUAUAAUUGGAAAAUAAAGAAAGGUUAUCACUACAUAUCCUACAGACAUUAAAAGAUAAUUAAUGGGAUUUUUUUUACAUUUUUAAGAGAAUCAUUUAAAAAAACAAUCAUGACAAGAAAUUUGGUAACUCAGAUAAAAAAAGACACAUUUGUAAAAACCAAAAUUUAUCAAAGGUUACAUAAUUAUUGAGAAAAUAUGGAUAAUCCUAUAUUUAUUAAAGAAAUUGAAUAUCUUGUUAAAAACCAAAGAAAUCUACUGCAAAUGGUUUAAGUGCAGGAUUCUAUGAAUCACUUAAAAAGAAACUAAUACCAUUAUUUGAAAACUAUUUAAAAUAUUGAGACUGCAAGGAGACUUACUCACUUGCUUUAUUUGGUCAGGAAUACCUUGUAACAAAACCUGACAAAAAUGCUAUUACAAUAAAAACUGUACAUCAGUAUUGUUCAUGAACCUAAAAUAAAAACUCUUAAAAUAAGGAAAUUAAAUAUAAUAUUAUAUGCCUUAUGAUGAACUGAUAUUUAUCACAGGAAGGCAAGGUGUGUUUAACAUUUAAAAAUCAAGAAUAUAUAUCUCCAUAUUAGCAAAAUAAAGCAGAAAACAUUUGAUCAUUGAAGAGAUACAGUAAAAAGCACUGGAAAAUUCAGACCCGUUUAUAAUAAAAACUUGAAGAAAACUAGGAAUAGAACACUCUAACUCUGAUAGGAGGCAUCUAAAUAUUAUCUAAAAUUAUAGUGAAUGAUGAAAUAUUGAAAAAGUUUUCCCUAAGGUAAAAAAGAGAAAGAGUGUUCAGUGUAAACACUUCUAUUGAACACUCUUCUGGAGGUUCAAGCCAGCACACUAAUGAAAAUAAAUAAAUAUCUAAAGGUUGAAUAAGAAGAUGUAAAACUGAAUCUAUUAAUAAUAUAAUUAUCUACAUACAAUAUCCUUAGCAAUCUACAAAGCAAUGACUAUAACUAAGUGAACUUAGCUUAGUCAUAGUUUACUAGGUCAAUAUAUAAAAAUAAAUUGUAUUUUUUUAUAUCAGAGUGAUAGCUCCAAAUGGACUGCUAUACUGCUUACUUACUGUUUCCAAUACAAAAGCAUUGCUAAAAAUAUUAAAGAAGAUUUCAUUAUAUGAAGUGAUAUAUCCUUUUUAAAGAUGGGAAAACUUAUAUUUGCAAGAUGUCAAUUCAUCCCAAAGUGAUAUCAGUAACCCAAUUCAAUGACAAUAUGUGGUUUUAUUUUUUUUAAAAAAAGGACGAACUGAUGAUGUUCAAUUAAUAGAAGAGAAAAACAAAUAUGCUUCCCCACAAAAAUAUGUUCUUUAUUGCAUAAUUUCAUUGAUCUAAUGUAAUAUAAUAUUUAUAUUUCUAAAUGCAGUUUUAAAAAACAAAUACAUAUCAUAUACAAUUGAUAUUUUUCCCAAUAUUUUGUUGACUACCUGAGUAAGUUUGCAUGCUGCAUUAAUGGUGAAAACAUUAAACAGUUCCGUCUCCUAAAGGGAAAACUUUAUAGAAAGUUUUCUUAAAGAUGAGUAAUUUGCAGCCCUGAGAGAUAUGUGUAACUAAUAUACUAAUAUUAAAAGAGCUUACAUUGCCAAAUAAGAGAACCGUAAAGGCUUAAUAGGGAUGCUCAUUAGAAGGCUCCAAAUUUAUAACCACACAACUAAGCAUGGAUUUACAUGUCUCAUCAGAUUUCUUCAUGACUUGACAUUCAGCCAUUUCUAAAAAAACUAAUCAUCUUACCUGAGAGUAUAUCUUAAGAAAGGGGAAGUUAAAUUUAUCUAAAAUCUUUUAAUAUUCUUACUAGACAAAAGCCUUCCAAAAUGAAUCAAGUCAUUAAUCAGUGUUCACUUCCUGUAGAACACAGGUCUCCUAACAACCAUGUGACUAGAUCAUCCCAUUUAAUGAUACAAUUUAUAAUGUGACUUUUUUUUUUUUUUUUGCCUUCUUGGGUUUUUACAAAUGCUGAAUUGAUAACUCCGUCAAAUGAAGCUAGAUAAUCUCUUGUCACUGCCACAUUUUCUGUUUGUCCUGUUCAUCUCAACUUUCUACAUUAUGUGUGCACUGAUGUCUGUAAUUUGCACCAAAACUUCCUUUUGAGCAUCAUUAACACUCCGUUCUUCAUAGCAAGACCUUUAAGGUAUAACUCAGCAAAUAACUGAUUCUAUUCUCCAUGUUACCCUUAUCCAGUCUAUCGCAUUGAAGGAAAUACAUAUCUUUCAGAUCUUAGUGGUCAGAUAUUUAAAUACCUUGAAUGUUUUGCUGCUCUAUCAGACACUUAAGACUGUGAACUGAAGUGAUGAUAUAUAAACAGUGUUAAUGUCACAUCUCUUUUGUACUGAAUUUUAUCCUUCUUGUUUCCUACCUUCCAGUCAACUAUUUUUGGCCAAUGACAGUUUUAAAUGCCAUUGGAUUAAACUUCUUUUUAAUCUGUCACACCAAGAAAAUGUGAAUGUCUGCACCAUAGGAUGCUUCUAACAUGUUUAACACUAACCUCUUUGCUCCACUUCUCUGAAGGAGUUUAGGCUGAUUCUGCAAAAUAUAUCUCACUGAUAACAUUUUGCUUGUAGGAUGCCUCCUUGUUUUAAUACUCCAGAUUAAUAGAAUGUGUUUUUUAUCUUCUACAAUAUUUCUAACUGGUGUUUAUAUAGAAUGUUUUCCUCUACAAAUAAAUGUAUUUGAAAAAAAAACCAGAAAGUCUUGAAUUAUACUCCCAAUUCAAUUGGUUCAUUACCAAAAUCAUGAAUAAAUGAAUAAACUUUUUUAUUUUUACAUCUUAUAGAUACAUAAUAGCUAUAUAUAUUUAUGUAAGGUAUGUGAUAUUUUGAUUCAAGCAUAAAAGGUGUAAUAAUCAAAUCUGGGUAAUUUUGGCACCCAUCACCUCAAACAUUUAUCAUUUCUUUGUCUUGG